rnacentral:tRNA from 1 species
GUGCCAGUAGCUCAGGGGAUAGAGCAACGGCCUUCUAAGCCGUGUGUCGGAGGUUCGAUUCCUCUCUGGCGCACCA